rnacentral:rRNA from 1 species
GACGAACGCUGGCGGCGUGCUUAACACAUGCAAGUCGAACGGAAAGGCCCUGCUUUUGUGGGGUGCUCGAGUGGCGAACGGGUGAGUAACACGUGAGUAACCUGCCCUUGACUUUGGGAUAACUUCAGGAAACUGGGGCUAAUAUCGGAUAGGAGCUCCUGCUGCAUGGUGGGGGUUGGAAAGUUUCGGCGGUUGGGGAUGGACUCGCGGCUUAUCAGCUUGUUGGUGGGGUAGUGGCUUACCAAGGCUUUGACGGGUAGCCGGCCUGAGAGGGUGACCGGCCACAUUGGGACUGAGAUACGGCCCAGACUCCUACGGGAGGCAGCAGUGGGGAAUAUUGCACAAUGGGCGGAAGCCUGAUGCAGCGACGCCGCGUGCGGGAUGACGGCCUUCGGGUUGUAAACCGCUUUCGCCUGUGACGAAGCGUGAGUGACGGUAAUGAGUAAAGAAGCACCGGCUAACUACGUG